rnacentral:rRNA from 1 species
CACGCCGUAAACGAUGAUCACUCGCUGUUGGCGAUAUACAGUCAGUGGCUAAGCAAAAGCAUUAAGUGAUCCACCUGGGGAGUACGGCCGCAAGGCUGAAACUCAAAGGAAUUGACGGGGGCCCGCACAAGCGGAGGAACAUGUGGUUUAAUUCGAUGAUACGCGAGGAACCUUACCUGGGCUUAAAUGCAGAGUGCAUUCUCGGGAAACCGGGAUUUUCUUCGGAACUUUCUGCAAGGUGC